rnacentral:rRNA from 1 species
UACGUAGGGUGCGAGCGUUGUCCGGAAUUAUUGGGCGUAAAGAGCUCGUAGGCGGUGUGUCGCGUCGGCCGUGAAAACCUGGGGCUUAACUCUGGGCGUGCGGUCGAUACGGGCAUCACUGGAGUUCGGGCAGGGGAGACUGGAAUUCCUGGUGGUAGCGGUGGAAUGCGCAGAUAUCAGGAGGAACACCGGUGGCGAAGGCGGGUCUCUGGGCAGUAAACUGACGCUGGAGGAG